rnacentral:piRNA from 1 species
UAUUAUGGAACAGGUGCAAAUCGGAUUUGC